rnacentral:rRNA from 1 species
CCUACGGGGGGCUGCAGUGGGGAAUAUUGGACAAUGGGGGGAACCCUGAUCCAGCCAUGCCGCGUGUGUGAAGAAGGCCCUCGGGUUGUAAAGCACUUUCAGUGAGGAAGAACGCCUGGUGGUUAAUACCCAUCAGGAAAGACAUCACUCACAGAAGAAGCACCGGCUAACUCCGUGCCAGCAGCCGCGGUAAUACGGAGGGUGCGAGCGUUAAUCGGAAUUACUGGGCGUAAAGCGCGCGUAGGUGGCUUGAUAAGCCGGUUGUGAAAGCCCCGGGCUCAACCUGGGAACGGCAUCCGGAACUGUCAAGCUAGAGUGCAGGAGAGGAAGGUAGAAUUCCCGGUGUAGAGGUGAAAUGCGUAGAGAUCGGGAGGAAUACCAGUGGCGAAGGCGGCCUUCUGGACUGACACUGACACUGAGGUGCGAAAGCGUGGGUAGCAAACAGGAUUAGAUACCCUGGUAGUC